rnacentral:rRNA from 1 species
AUUGAACGCUGGCGGCAGGCCUAACACAUGCAAGUCGAACGAGUGGCGGACGGGUGAGUAAUGUCUGGGAAACUGCCUGAUGGAGGGGGAUAACUACUGGAAACGGUAGCUAAUACCGCAUACCAUCGGAUGUGCCCAGAUGGGAUUAGCUAGUAGGUGGGGUAAAGGCUCACCUAGGCGACGAUCCCUAGCUGGGCUGAGAGGAUGACCAGCCCAACUGGAAGUGAGACACGGUCCAGAAUCCUACGGGAGGCAGCAGUGGGGAAUAUUGGACAAUGGGCGCAAGCCUGAUGCAGCCAUGGCGCGUGUAUGAAGAAGGCCGUCGGGUUGGAAAGUACUUUCAGCGGGGAGGCGUUACCCGCAGAAGAAGCACCGGCUAACUCCGUGCCAGCAGCCGCGGUCAUAC